rnacentral:pre_miRNA from 1 species
AGUAGAACUGUUGGGUCAUAUGGUAAGUCUAUUUUUAACUUUACUUUAAAAAAAAAACUGCCAAACUGUUUUCUAAAGUGGCUGUAUCAUUUUGCAUUCCCACAAGCAAU